rnacentral:rRNA from 2 species
UACGUAGGGUCCGAGCGUUGUCCGGAAUUAUUGGGCGUAAAGGGCUCGUAGGCGGUCUGUCGCGUCGGGAGUGAAAACUCAGGGCUCAACCCUGAGCGUGCUUCCGAUACGGGCAGACUAGAGGUAUGCAGGGGAGAACGGAAUUCCUGGUGUAGCGGUGGAAUGCGCAGAUAUCAGGAGGAACACCGGUGGCGAAGGCGGUUCUCUGGGCAUUACCUGACGCUGAGGAGCGAAAGCAUGGGGAGCGAACAGG